rnacentral:rRNA from 1 species
CUGAUUAUACUGUGAGAACGAAAGUUCUUGCUUUUAACUAGAUAACAACUUUCAGCAGUGGAUGUCUAGGCUCGCACAUCGAUGAAGAACGCUGCGAACUGCGAUACGUAAUGCGAAUUGCAGAAUUCAGUGAGUCAUCGAAAUUUUGAACGCAUAUUGCACUUCCGGGUUAUGCCUGGAAGUAUGUCUGUAUCAGUGUCCGUAAAUCAACCUUGCCUUUCUUCCUUCUGUGUAGUCAGUGGAGGAUGUGGCAGACGUGAAGUGUCUCGCUGUGGCUGGUUUUUGGCCGUUUCUGCUAUGAAUACAGUUUGCGAGUCAUUUUAAAUGGACACGACUUUCUCUUUUUUGUGUCUGCGAGGUGCUGUGCUCGAACGCGGUGGUUUUCGGAUCGCUCGCGGCUGUUGGCGACUUCGGCGAAUGCAUUAUGGAGUGGACCUCGAUUCGCGGUAUGUUGGGCUUCGGCUGGACAAUGUUGCUUAUUGUGUGUUUGUUCCGCGUUCGCCUUGAGGUGUACUUUCUGCUGUGUGCUUGAACUGGGAUCUGCUUUGUUAGUAGUGCGCGGUGAUCGUUAUUCGCGGGGACAUCUGUUGUUGCGCACGCUGUUAGUGUGUGCUUGAGCAGAAGAGAGGUUUCAAUUUGGGAAAGUAGU